rnacentral:rRNA from 1 species
AUGAGAUCUCCCACUGGAUAACCAGGUAAGGCCCGUGGCAGACCACCACGUUGAUAGGCCGGAUGUGUAAGCACGGUGACGUGUUCAGCAGACCGGUACUAAUCGGCCGAGGGCUUGGGCUC